rnacentral:lncRNA from 1 species
GGAAGGGGUUUUUGGAGGGUUUGGAGUGUAGGGAGGUUGAGAAAUAGGAGAGGGAGUGUUUGGAGGGGUUGGGACAUAAGGUUGGUUGCCAGGGGAAGGUGUUUUUGGAGGAGUGGGAACAUUUGGAGGACUAUAAGAAGGAGACGGUGUUUUUGGAGGCGUUGGAAUAUAGGGUGGUUGGUUACGAGGAGAAGGAGCAUUUGGAGGACUAUAAGCUGGAGAAGGUGUUUUUGGAGGAGUGGGAACAUUUGGAGGACUAUAAGAAGGAGAAGGUGUUUUUGGAGGUGUAGGAACAUAGGGUGGAUGGUUACCCGGGGAAGGAGCUAUUGGGGGGGCGUAAAUAGGAGAAGGUGUUUUGGGAGGUGUUGGAACAUUAGGAGGAGUAUAAACAGGGGAAGGAGUUUGUGGAGGAGUUGGAAUAAAUGGAGGAUGAUUAGUAGGUGAAGGUGCUUUAGGAGGAACAUAGGGAGGACUGUGAAUAGGAGAAGGUGUUUUUGGAGGGGUUGGAACAUAAGGUGGAUAAGGAAUUUUUGGAGGAGUUUGAGGAGGUGUUGGAACAUAAGGUGCUUUUGGAGGAGUAAUUGGAACAUAGGGAGUGUUUGGAGGUGUUGGAGGAUAAUAAGGAGGUGGCUCUCUCACAGCCAACACCACAAUAAUCAAUUUCUGACCCUUUUCACAAUUACCAUCUUUCCCACUAAUGAAGUAAAAUGGACCCGAUCGAUCAAACUGAAACUCCGAUUCACUAUCCUCAAACUUCUUGAUCGGGUUCUUCUUGUUACAUUUCUCAUAAUCAUCCUUGUUCACCACCAACACAGUAUCCGAGCCCUUCUUGUACUUAAAAACUAUCAACACAAAAAAAAAACAUAAGUUAAAAACAUGCAACACUAAAAAAGUUGAUACUCUUUCCAUUUGCAACGAAAAUUAUACUACUCACCAAGAGUAUCACUGACUUGGAACCUCAUCCUUUCAGCCCAAUGAUUGUAAUUCUCAGAAGGGUACAAAACCCACCCAUCUUUCCCACCAACAUAGAAAGUGUAGGCUUGAGAGCAUGAGAAGAGACUAAAGAGAAACAACAAGAGACAAGCACGUAUCUCAAGUUCCAUGAGGAAAAGAAAUGUUAAUGAGUGUUGUGUAUUGAGUUAGUGUACAUAAACUGGCAGAGAAGAAGAGAGAGAGAGUGAUGGAAUAUGCACAAAUUAAAGAAACUUCAUAGGUGGCAGAAGUGAAGUGGAGUGAGAGAGAGAGAGAGAGUUGUGUAGAAAGUGAGUGCACACAAGUGAAGGGAAUAGAUAGGGAUAUAAAGGGAAACUUUUUCCUUGGGUUACCGUUGUUGUGGUGCUUGUGUAGGUCCAAGCGUGUUAAACGCGAGGACUUUACGUGUGAAGGGCUUACAUGUGGCGAAAUGAUAUUAUAGAGUUAGAAAAAAGUUGAAAAAUUCGAGAAAGUUUCUUUCUUUAAUACUAUAGCGUUGUCGGGGUCGUGUAUGGUGGUGGGACAGCCAUUACCAAUUAAUAUUCAUAUUCUAGCUACGUACCAUACACUAGCUAGCUAGCCAUCUGUGCUAUGUAAGAGUGAGUCAUCGUGGUGCAAUUGGACAUGCUGCUGAUAUUUUAUUUUAGAACCUUACUUACCGUUGCUAUAUGGUUGGUACAUCUUAUUAAAAUGCUAAAAUCUUAUUUUAGAAGAGCAUCACGGAAUUCUAUUGUUUUGCUUGUAGGAUCAGGUUUUAUCCAUGGUAUUGGAUUCCAAUUUUGAUUUCAGACCCCAUUAAUAAAUGUUCUAUCCUUUUAUAAAGGGUACAUAGUUGGGUUGUUAGAGUUUUUUUUAGUACAUAGGUUGUUAGAAAUUAAUUUAAAUUUUUUUUUUAUUUUUAGGAUCUUGCUGAACAUUAUUCUUAGAAUAUUGAUUAAGAAAUUUUAAAAAAAUGUUUAUAAUAUAAAUCAAGAAAACAUAAAAAAAAUAUAAUAGUAUAAUUUUUUUUAUAAUUUUUUAUUCAUAAUUAAAAUAUUUCCAUUUUAAAUUUGUUAACCAAUAUUCUUAUUAUAAUGAUUAGCAUUUAGCUUAUAUUUAUUAGUUAUGAUCAUCUUUAUCUACUUUCCGUUGAGAGGUAAAAAAAAGCAAUGAAGACCAAUAAUGAAGAAUGGGAUUGGUUGGUCAAUAAUCUAGAUUUAUGCCUUGGGUCCGCAAUGACUGAUAGAAUUUGUAAGAUUGGGUUUAAGAAAUAAAUGAGUAAUCAUCCUCUCUUUUUUGGGUAAUCAAACCUUUGCUUUGUUUUGCUUUUUCAUAGACUAUUUGGUAGGAGUAAUGGGCGACCCAGUUAGGAGUUAAUAAAGGUAUAUAUCCACUGUUAAUGUUUUGAUUUGAUUAACUGCUUUAUUUAUUUGCUGAUUAUCAUUUUUCUUAAUCACAUGAUUAGUGUAAAUUAAGUAUCUACAAAAUUUGCUAAUGACUAGUAAUUUCUACUUGACAAUUUUACUAAUUACCUUUAGUAGCGUAUACAAAUAUUAUUGAAUUAACUUAUUUUGUAUUUAAAAUAGUUUAUAAUUAAGUUUUCGAAAAUUGAAAGAUUUUUAUUUUUUUUAACGCCAAACAUACCAUAAUUAUUGCAUUUUGUGGAUGAAUGCUGACUUUGCCGACUCCCAUCUAAUCUUGUAGUUGUAAUUUAUUUGGGAAGACUAGAAAUUUCCUAUGUUUGAAAAACAUUAUUGUCUGGUACUAUAACGUUACUGUAUUUUAAAUUAGUAUAUGAUGGGACAUGGGUACUUUUCUCCUCUAUAUAUAAAAACUUUACUUUUAAAAUCUCUCCAAAUAAAUUACUAAAAUUACAUAAAUUUUCAUGAAAAAACUGAAAUUAUACCUGUCUAAAAUCAUAGUCAAUAAAACGCACGUCGCUUUACCGUUAGUACUAUUGGGUUAUACAAAACAUGCAUGCAUACAAUUAUAAAUGUAUCAUUAAGAUUAAUGAACUCCCACCCGUUUUCAACAUAUGCCAUCCUAGUGUAUGGUUCUGAUCUCAUGCUCUCAUUAAAUGUACACUAACUGUACAAUCACCCUUCCAUGAUUGUAUCUUCAAUACCAUUAAUUUUGUGUUUUCUUCUUUGAUAAUGCUUAGUAAAACUAAAAUGUAAGACUUUGUGAUCUUUUCUGUUUUAUUUUAAAAUUACACCAAACCUAAAAUAGAAUCCGUUUCAUCCUGUUCAAUGUUCUAAGAUGUCUAUAAGAAAAGCAUGCCUAUCAAAGAGUACCUAAAAUUAACUUCUUUUCUAAAAUAAGUACAAUAGUAUUUUUUUUCAUUUAGUUUAAAAUGCAUUUUAAUCUAAAUUUGUUAAAAUUUAAGGAUAAUAAAAUUUAUAAAUAUUAUAUGCGUUUUUUAUUAUUAUUAUUCACAAAAUACUCAAAUCACUUACCCUCCAACCCCCUCCUUGAUUGAUCAGUGUAAAAAUAGUGUUGUAAUUAAGUAGUUAACCAAUUGGGCCAGGACUCAGGAGUAACACACAUGGGCCUGGAAAAGCUACAAUGGACAAGGGGGAAAGUGACUCAGUUGGAAAAUGUUGUUCACGGAAUUGUAGAAAAAGAGAGCGUAGUACUUCAAAAUCUAACUACAUAGAUGGACAUUGUAAUGAAAAAAAAAUUGGCAAAAAGGGUGAUAGUGAUAUUGCCUGAUAUAGAAAUUAUUCUUGAAUUUGUGUUAGGAAAAAAAAUCUGAAUGAUUCAUCUUGCAUUUGUAUAAUGUAUGAUAUUAAAUCAUGUUCUGCAAUUGCGGCACAGCAAAAUUCCAUACCAAUAAAUUAGGAGAAUUCACUCAUAGCGUCCACGUUAUAAUCUUGCAUCUACCAGCACUGGUAGUUGACUAGUUGCUAACGGUUAGGCCCAGUAGCUUCACUUCACAACUAAUAGUUUGGGCGAAGAAAAUUAUACAUAGCACACACAAAUGAAAUUUGCAUAGAUUUAUACAAAAACAUAACGUGCCUAACAUAGGUGUACUAAGUUAAUAAAAUAUUAAGACAUUAUUAUUUAUAGAGCAUUGCUAUAGAUUCCGAAACUUUCAAGCAAUACAUUCAGCCGACCAAUACCAAAAGUUUCAUUUGUCUUAAACCGUACUAAAGUAAUGUUAUUGUGAAAAGAAAUUGACAAGUGUUAAAUUUUGAAUGAAUAAGAGAAUCAUCCGGUCAAACACAUUCGGAGGACAAAUCAUUUUCCUUAUUUAUAUUAAAAAAAUAUUUUGUUUAUUAAUUUAUAAAGAUGCAUGUAUCUAAUUUACUAGCACUUCACCAUAGUCGAUUUAAUGGAUAGUUUGUAUGAUUUGGGUAGGAGUUGAAACGUCGUUAUAAACUUAUAGCCAAUCUACACACACACAAAAACUACUUUAUUGGCUUAUCAAACUAAAGUUAUACGCAAUUUAUAGAGGAAACUCAUGAAAUUCAUUGAACCUAUAUCAGCCGCACAUUCAAUUUCCAUAAUGCAUCUUUAACCUCGACCUCUUCCAUGUGGUUGUGGAUUGAGCUACCACCCUUCUUUGCUAGUAGUUAUAAGAAAUUCUCAUCUUUGCAACCCUACAACAAAUUGCUAAUAAAAACGGACUCAAUAUGGGUGCACGUGGACUAUGUAUGGUAGUUGGAAUGGUUUCAACUACAGCCUUGCAAUAAUGACUACCUCUUGAACCUCUCCAAAUUUAGCACCUUUUAUUUCCAUCCCUUUCAACUUCUUGCAAACCCUCACCAGAUUCUUAGACCUACGUAAGAAAUUAAAGUGGAACGCCAAAACACUUUAUCGUGGCUCUUUAAUUUAUAUAAUUUUCAUUCGUUAAUUUUUGUAUAGAAUAUUUCAUUCCUUUUUAACAAGUUUAUAUAAAUAAUGCACCUUAACUUCUUCUCAGCCCUCUCUCAAGAGCACCUGAUUCAUGGACCUACUUUAGAAAUAGGAUAUGCCAAAAUACUUCGAAAUGGCCUUAUUAUACUUCAAAAUACUAUUAAUACAAGAAUCAAACUGGCGACGUAUAUUACUAAUUGUUCUUUUAACUGCGCAAGGGCUGUCGUUUUGCAAGACUUACAACCCAUCAUAUAGGUAUAUCACAAGAUCACCAACAUGAUCGAUCUACACAAACACUUGCAAACUGGAACAUUAAAAAAAACAUGUUGUUGGAAAAAUGUCCCACACAUCAAUAAUUUGUUUUUUCUUCAAAGUCACACAUCAAUAAUUGGUGAUAGGAAUGCAAGCAGACAAAACACAUUACAGAGGAAAAGGCCAUGCUAAGGAAUUCAAAAGACAAGUUUUAUUGAAAAUGCAUUAGAAAUUGCAAUAGAGUUUUUUUUUUUCUUUCUAGAAUAUUAGUAUCAAAUUUCUGAAUAGCUUUCCCUCUCGAGUUGCUGGUACUGCUCUAGUUCUUCUUGCCUAUUUCGAGACAGCAAUGGUUUUCCUUGCUUUUUUUUUUAUUCUCUGAAGCCAACCCCUACGUAUAGAUUCUAUUGUAUUGAUUUUCUGUUUAAUCUCACGUGUUUGAUCCAGCAGUGCUCAAAUUUUCCAACUAGAGGGACAACUAGGCAUGACUUAGUUUGACUGAUCUGUUUAAUUUUCAACUUCUGCGAUGCUCAAAAGCUUAAACUAGGAAGACAACUAAUUGUAAAUGGUGAUAACGAUGAGGUGUGGAAAUAGAUGAGAAUGGCUGCCAUUAGCAUAUAGCCUAGCCUAGUUGCACCAGGAUAAUUCUUUGCUUUGAAAGCAAAUGUCACAAAAUGAAUUCUUAUUCACAUGAAUUACAGGGUACAAAUUGCUUAAAGUUUCAGGCCUAGCUAAGUGUGACCAAAUCUAAAAUGCUUUAGAGCCGAAUCCCGAAUGGAAACAAUGUGACAAAUUUUAUUACAAUUUUCAUUUCUUACAGUCUUUGGUGGGUGUUGUGAAUGUUGUGCAAUAGUUCCUUUCAGUCGGUAGAGUCCAUUCAGUAACCUACCUGAACCAAACCUCCUCUUCAUUUCAUCCUGUGUUAAACCCUUUCAUCAGACAAGAUAAAGGAGCAGUAGAUUGGCAAGGACUAUGUGUCAAUAACAUAUUUUUUCCCUGAUAAGUCAAAUAUUCAAGAAAGAGAUUUCUUCAUUUAAAAUGUAAGUUCAAGUGAAGCAUGUGGGGAAAAAAAUAUUUUUGAGGAAGGUCCCACUUAUGCGAGAAAUUAAUCUCUCAUCAAUCAAAUGAUUUUCCAAGGUUAAUUCCACUUAAGUGCUAAAUUGAUAGUAUUCUUUUAUGUUAAGAUAUAUUUCUGCCUAUCUCCUCUAAAUGAGUUCUUGUGAGAUUGUGGAAUAAAAACCACCUAAAUGGAGAGUUUGUUACAUUAUAUAUCAAGAUUUACUGUCUGCACCUCACAAAUACUCCAAAAAAAGGUAAAGUAUUUGUACUUUCUCAAAAUGAAUAGCAACUAUAAGCAAAAAAGUAGAAACAUUUUACCAAAAUCAUGUUUACCCCAUUCUGUGAUCAUCCUUUGUUCAUAAAUGCAGUGCCAGAUUGGCAGACAUUCAGUUAAACAACGAGAGGAUGCUCUUUAUCUUUGACCCCAGAGAGAUUCAAUUUAGUCCAUUUGGCACGCCUUAAGAAAAGGAAGAGUGUCCCAACUUGACAGAGCUGCCCACAAAUUAGACCAAUCCAUAAACCCUAUAUCAUAAAGCAAAUUCAAGACAAACAUAAUAAUGAAAAAUUACAAAUGAAAAAAAGACUCAAAAUCAAGAUAUCAGAUUUUUAGAAUGUGCAAAAUAUUUAAUAUAAACAGUUGAGUGCUGCCAACCACAUCCUCUGGCCACCCCUGUAGUAUUAAACACAAUUUUCACACCAAGAAUUUAAAGUGAAUGAUGUUCAAGUUGAAAAGAUAAAGCGGGUUAAAAGAUAUGAGGAAUUCAAACCUUGUAUGACACCUUCGACAGCAUCUAGUACUAUGGAAAUGGCAAGCAAGGGUGUCACUGAAGCAAACUCCUCUUUAAUUUGAACUUUUCAAUACAUGUACUAGAAUGUUGAUUCAGAAGAAAUGCAACAAUGCAAGCAAAGGAGAAUGUGUUCGACCAACUAACCUUUCAGCCGCACCGAGACCAACAGGGACCAUGUGCGCUAUGAAUUGAGUGUUUAAACUGCAGAUUUUUUUAAGAUUACAACAAUAAUAAAUCAUACUAACUAUUUUAUUUUUCAGGAACAGAAUACCUGAAUACCAAGCUAUUAGAACCAUACCAUAUUGCAAUCAACGAAGUUGUUAUCUGAGAGUCAGGCAACAGUCCAGCCAAGAAAACCAAAACCAAAAGCCGAAUACUCCAAACUUGCAUAACAUAAACAACAUAUAGUAAGAUUUUUUAGCUACAAAAACAACAUACAGUAAGUUGAUAUAAGGAUCUUACAUUAAAUUACAACAAUAUUCUCUUAAUUUGAAUUAAUGUAUCAUGUAUGUUUGCAAAUUAGGCUAUUUCUCCUCAUUUAGCUUUCUAAGAUCAAUAGUCAAAAGGGUAAGCAAAGUGAAAGGUUGCUAGUGAUUCAUACCAUACCAUUGCAGCAGAGGGCAGGGCCAGUUUCAUGUUUGUAAAUACGUAAUGGAAUGAAUGCAUUGAAAAUCCUUGCCAUGCCUGCUUGAACUUCUUAGCAUACAUGACAUACAAGGCCAAUAAUAGCAUUGAUAUCCAUUGUGAAAUAGAAGCUGCAAGUGGUGCACCUGCAAAACUCAGACCUGGCCACUGAACCAAGCCAUAUGCAAUACCAAUAUGGAUCAACAGUGGAAGAGCUGAGAGUGCAACCAAUGGCAUUACCACAGAUUGUGUCUGGAGAAACCUCGAGAUAUUUUGCAAGAAGCUAUAUGCAAACACUCCCGGGAUAAGAAACUUCAUAUAAAGUGCAGCUGUUCUUGCAAUGUCGGGAGAUUGAUGAAGUAACACUAGGAUGGGCUCUGUAUAGAACCAAAUAAUGGAUAUAAUGAUUGAAAAAAUAAGAGAUAUGAUGCAAGAGCCUUGUAGGUAAAUUCCCAGCAUUUGGUAUUCCUUUGCACCAAAUCCUUGUCCGCAGUGUUUCCAGUGCCCCACUCAAACCAACCUAAGACAAGAAUAAGGUUAUGAACUAAGAGUUUAAUCUAGUAACUGGUAGAAAAUUGCUAAAAGAUAUGUACCAAAAAAGUGAUAGAAGAUUAGCACUUGUGGACAUUAGAGAGAGAGAGAGAGAGAGAGAGAGAGGUAUUUUAGGAAGAUUAACCUAAGAAAAAAUUAUUCAAAACAUCCUCUAUUUAAUUGGAGUUUUAUUUCUAAUAAUCUUCUCUUUUGUUUGUCUUAUGUAAUUUAAUGCAGAGGUAUUUUAGAAAAUGAAUUGACCAGAGAUUAUCAAAAUUAAAUGAUAUUAAUUAAUUUUCAUAAUGGAUAUGAUUCAGUUUUUUUUUAUAUAUAUUUCAAUCCGAAUGAAGUAUUAUGUAAACUAUAUAUAGUAUGAGGAGUGUAAUCAUACAAGAAAAAUCUUUGCUCAAUGUUCUUUCUAAAUGAUCAAAUACUAUUUAUCACGGAUCGAUGAUCAUGCUUUGUCUUGUUCUGAUAAAUUUAAAAUUGCUAAACCAACUCUGUCUUAGGUUUAUGUUAAUUAAAAAAAACAGCAUUUCUUUACCCCGUUUUUCGGACUGUCACAUGGCAAAUUGCUAAGUCUAAUAAAUAAUACUAGAAAACCCAACCGUGCUAUGGAACAAAGCAACUCAACAUUUUAAUUAAAAAAACACAAAAUGCAGAGGGUUCAGGGUGAAAAAAGCGGGUAUAGAAGAAUGCAAUAUACCUAAUUACUUAUGUAAUCAGACUCAAACUCAUCAUCGAUUUAGUCAGAGAGUCAUUGAAUCAGGAGUCGAUUCAAUGAGUUACUUGUUGACUCAUGACAGUUUUUAUAUAAUUAUAGUUUAUAAAUUAUACAAAUACAAUGCUACAUCCUAAUUGCAUUAGUCUAAUUAUGAAGUAAAUUUCGAGGUAUAAUAAUAUUGUGUUAGUCCAACUAGGACUAGCAUCCUUGCAAGUUUGAGUUUUGUCCCUCUUAGGUAUGCUUAAGGAUUCAAUUUUGUCGUGUUUUAGUUUAUUUUUGUUUCUUUUUCUUAUAUAAACAAAAAAAAAAUCUUAACCCUAGACUGCUAUGAAAAAUAUUGCCUGGCUUCAAAUUAUGAGAAAAAAAUAUUAACUAUAUUUAGAUCAGGAAAUAAUAAAAUAUACCCAAAAAAAAACCUAAUAUACAAAACAAAAGCGUGUGUAUAUAUAGAAUUAUGAUCGAUCAGCUGUAGGUGAGAAGCAUGAUUUAGGAGACGUUAACAUAUCGUUAUUGACUUUAUUCCAAAUUCCGUUAUGACAUAUAGCUACCACAGUAAACAUCCAGAUAAAAUUGUUUAUCCAUUUUAUACCUCUCAAUUUUUAUAUUUUUUAUUCUAUUUAUUAUUUUUUGUUUCUUUUUAUUAUUGUAUUCUCAUGCACCUAAAAAAGUGUCAAAAGAUCAAUAUUCAUAAAAAGAAAAUCCAUUUUUCUGUCAACAUAAUAAUAUGUGUAGGAUAGUAAAUGGUAUGGAACCCACUUCCUUUAAUAAAAUUGUAACAUGAACGAACCCUUCUUUCCCUGUCUUGCCAGCGUAGCAUCUUUAAUAUGAGAUUGUGAAGUUUGGUGUAUUUCACUGUUAAGAUUUUUAAAAUCUUGAGUUAUUCUAAGUAAUAUAUGCAAAGACCACGUUAGAAAAAAGUACGUACCUAAUAUAUACUUAUUAUAAGUGAAUAUAGUGAAUGAGUUUAAGGCUUACUUUUUAGUUCUUCUAUUAUCAUUAUUUCUCAAAUUUAACCUUUCCAUUUUGUAAUUGUGCAAAUGUGGGUGGAUCGUUAAUUGUAUGUCAAAUAAGUAACAAAGUAUGAUCUGGCACUAUGAUAUGUUUAUUGUUUUAUGUGACAUUGUGAUGCACUGAUGUGAACGUGUUUUAAAACAUUAUAAAUAAAAUAAAAUUUAACCAAAUAGAUGAAAAUUGGCUUAAUUAUACUUUUAAUCUUUCUUUAAUCUUCCAUAUAUAAUUUUGGUCAAUUAAGUUUCUUUUUAGUUGUUUGACCAAGUUUUAUUUUAUUUUCAUUUUUAAAAAAAACAUCCACACAGCAUAAUGUCAUAUAAGAUAGAUAACGAACAUUAUGUUAUUACAUCAUCAUCUUUGUUACUUAUUAUUUAAUUUAAUGGACAAUUAAUAAUUGAAUCAUAUUUACACAAUUAAAAAUGGAAUCCAAAUUCGAGAAAUAACAAUAAUAAAAAGAUGAAAAAUAUAAUUAAGUUUUUAUUAAAGACAUAACAUUGUGUAAAAUAUCAAAUCUUAAUCACAUAGAAUGCACAAAAAUCACAUAAUAAGUUAUAUAUAUUCAUGUGUCAUGUCAUCAUAUCAGUGAUAGAUACGAAUAGUUCAGAUUUGUUAAAGUAAAUUAAUAGAAAAUCAGUUACACUAAAAAAUGAGAGACAAGAUUAAAAAAAUAAAGACUAAAAAAGCAAUUAAAUUAAACAGUAAUUGAAAAUUAGCCAGUAUCCAAAAAUAUUCAAAAAGAAUCUAAUAAGAUUUACAAUACUGAUACAUAGCUCUUUUGAAAUUUUAGUGAUUCCUAGUCCAAGAUCCAACUCAAUGAAAAUUCAUAAUCUCUAAAGAAAAUCAUAGACUUAAAUAUAGACAAUUAUUUAUAAGCCACGACGAAAGAAUUCAAUAAUGUCAACUUAAAACUAUUGUAUAUACUUUCCAAGGAACAAAAAAUAAUCCAGAGAUAUUGAAAUAAACUUCCUUUUAGAGAUACAUAGCGCCUACAAAAGACUGCAAGUUAUGCAGCAGAGUUCAGAGCAAUGAAUUUUAUAGAAUAUAUACAGGCCAUAUAGACAACAAGGAAAUAAAUAAGCAAGAGCUGAAAUGACAAUUUAUUUUUUAUUUUCCAUUUUUAAGAAGUUACUUGCAAACGCAUUGUACAUUUUCAAACUAAUUGUAGUAGGAAGGCAUCAUAGCAGUGGUAAUUAAAGGAACAAAGAAGCACAAAUUAAGUAGACACAAAUUUGUUGUGCAUGCUUAUAUAAUACUAAUAAUAACCAAAGAAAGCUUGAAAUGGAGUUACAUGGUCAGUCUUUCUUUUCUUCAACCUUUUUUUCUUCCACCUUGGUUUCUUUGACUUCCUUGACCUUUGCCUUCCCUUGCUUUGGCUUCAUGAAGCAAAAGCAAGAGCAGCAAGGGCACUGGAACAAGAACUUCAUUAUUGCCUUGUUAGUUGCUAGAUCUCAAAUUCCUGGACAGGAAGGGCAAUGUGUGCAGCUUUUGGGGCCUCUUAAUUUCUAUCUAUCUUUCUUUCUUUGUUCAAUAAUUUGUGCUAUUUAAUUCCCUUGAUUUGCUCUGUACUGCUUUUUCUUUAGCCAGCAGUGUCCAUUGGAUUCCAAUUAUGUCACUUUCAAUGUAGUGCAUGUUUAUUAAUAGUGCCAGCUUUAGAGUGAGUGAGUGAGUGAGUGAGUGAGUGUGUGUGAGGUAGUUGAGCUAGACUAGCCAUGUUGAAAAUGGGGUUAGUAGUCACAUUUGGUGUUUCUUUGUGGGUCAACUUGGCCAUGCUAUGCUAGCUAAUGGAAUAAUAAGAGUGCACCCAUAUCUUGUUUUUUUGGUCCACCAAAUAGGCUCCUCCUAAGCUGGCAUGCAUUUUAGGUAUAUUUUUUUCUCAAAAGGGUAGUUUUAGACUUGAAACAUUAGGCGCGUAUUGUCAUUAUGCUGAACUCAGUUUCAAUUCUAAGACCAUUGCUACCACAAUUAGAAGGUUAAAUUAAUAAUUUCAUUGCUAAACAUGAUGUAGCUUCUUUAAAAAAAAAAUCGAUGUAGCUUUUCAUUUUACUCCUUAUACGAAUAAAAGCUGCAUUUCAGUCUUCAUAUAAAAAAAAUCGAUGUAGCUUAUCGUUUAUUAAAGUUAGAAUGAUGUUGAAUUUUAUUAAGUUAUCUUUCAUAUAGGAAUUAUGUAGAGUUUUUCAUGUAGGGAUUAAAAAAAUAUUGAUUUUUCUGUGUAAAUACUAAAAUGAAAAAUGAUACCAAUGGAUCGGAUUACCUCAAUUGGACCCAUCUCCCACAUUAACCUUGCAACUUGGAACACCUCCCAAAAUCCACUCCUAAAUCAACACUCUACAUAUUACAGUUUACUUAUUCCCUCUGGAUUAGAUCAGAGCUUAAAGUGAGUUACCAACAUCUCACAAAUAUCAGUAAUUUCAUUCAUCAAGUGUCUUGAUGUAGCAUUAAAUAUUGGGGGCACAAAACAUACAGACCAUAUACAAAAACCAAAAUUGGAGGACGUGGGUUGUUAUUGGCUUCUAGUUCCUACUUCCUACUAUAUUAGUAUUAUUUGGAAGCAUAUCCUAUAUAUACAGAAUAUAUAAUCUCAUCAAUUUCAAAUGGACUUUAGUUCAUGAACGGUGAAUCCAUACACGUGCAACAUGAGACAGAUUGCGUAGCAAAACAGAACAAAAAUAGCUGCAUACUACCUACAUCAAUAUAAGGUUGGCCCAAUUAUUGAAGAACCAUGAAGGGAGAAGGGAGAAGGGAGGGAGGAAGGAGAAGUCACGAGUUCAAAUUUAUCAACUAAUAUUUCUAACAAAAAUUAACAAACUAACAUUUAUCCAUAAAAAUGAAAACCAACUAUCUUCAACAGUUUGCCACACAAGGUACUCUUUUAAUCUCAUCAAAUUCAGCAGUUUGUCCCACACGCAGACGCAAGAUACAUUAUCAAAAGGUUAAUUUUCUUCCCAAACCAUACAUUUGAGAUGGAAAGUGCAUGAUUUUAUUGACUUUGGUUCUUUACCAUGGCCAUUAGUCAUAUGCACCAGCACCAAGAUACCUAGCUUAUUUUCUUCCAAGUCUCCUAGCGUCAACUUAAUGCAUAUAUCAAGUAUUAUUCACAAGGCCAUCGUGAAGAACUACCAUACAUUCAUUGUUUAUUCUUUAACUACUCUUAUCUCAUUAAUUUUUAUUGGUUAUUAAAAAUUACAAAGUUAUGAGUUAAAUUAGUCAAAUAAGAAAUAAGAUCUACACAAUUUUGUGAUUUUUAAUAAUUUUCAGUUAAUUGUAAAAACUUAAAUGUGUUAACAAGAGUGUAUUGAAUAUGUGUGCAUUUCAUGGCAGGUUUGCAGUGAGUCAUCUUAGUCAAUUUCUUGAUUGUCUAACUACAGAACAUUAUACUGCAGCACAAAGGGUAAUUCGAUACAUCAAAAUGUCACCAGCUGAGGGCCUUUUUUUUCAGCUAACACUGAAACUAAACUCAAAAGGUUUAGUGAUUCAGAUUUUUUAUGUUUGGAUACCAGAAGGUCAAUCACGGGCUAUUGUUUUUUGGAAAAGCAAGAAACAAGCUAUUAUCUAAACAACUUAAAUUAAUGAAAGAUCAACAUUAUGAUAAUGUUUAAUUUUUUUAAUUGGCCUUAAUGAGAAGACACUUUUGUUGUUACACAUAAUUCAUGAGCUCAGCACUCAAAAAAAUUGUAUGUCAAAUCAAAUCAAUUAUUUUUUGUGCCUAAAAAGGCCAUAACCUGCCAAAAUAUGAGACAACAUAGUAUAUAAGAUACAUGAGUAAUGCAGAGUCUGAAUCCCAUUGCCGAUUGCUCAUAUUUGUGGGCCAAAGUUACUAAUGUUUGGGCUCUCUUUCUUCAUCAUCUGCUACUGAACUGUCUAAACUUAUUGGCAUCCUUAUCCUUCCUUUACAACCGCAACAAAAGCCAAAAUAAUUGGACAAUUUCAACAACAACAAAAAUGUUAAUAAAAGUUGUGGGUUGGGCAAGCUGUCUUACCCCAUAAGGUUGCUUAGCCUACGGAGAGGAAGUGGAGAGAGUUUGGAAGACGAUGGUUCAUAGUUAUUCAUUCCACGGAAUCUAUACAUUUCCUCAUAUAAUAAGUAUGUAAUUUGCAUUUAAUAUAUAUAUAUAUAUAUAUAUAUAUAUAUAUAUAUAUAUAUAUAUAUAUAUAUAUAUAUAUAUAUUUUACGUAUAUACAUGUAUACAGCUAAUAGCCUAAUAAAAGCUAAUGUGAAAAGUCAAAAUUCAAAAAGUAUUGCUAGUACUAUCUAACUAAACGUCCACUUAUGGUACAUGGUAACAAAAAAAUUAAUAUUUUUUUUCGAUACUAAAUUAACAUCUUUCUCAAUGAUUAAUAUUAGCAAAAAAAGAAAACAAAACAUGGAUGGUGUUUACUUGGGCCCAUAUGAAUUAGCAGCAGCACUGUGCCUAGAGAUAUUCUCCUUGACACAGAAAAGGAAAAAUAACCUAAAAAAAAAAUUCAAGUAAAAUUAUUUAAAUGAAAUUUUCCAUGUAAACUUUUUCAUUGGGAGUUGGAUCUAUCGAAAGGGCCUAAUUUCCCACAACAUAGUGAACCAAGAUUCGAAUCUCCGCGGAAAGAAAUAUCCCCAUUUAGAGUUCGUCCGUGUUUCAAGCAAAAUUACUUCCGAAGGACACACCUGAAAAAAAAAAGUUCUUAAAAAAUGAUAAAAGAAGUUGAGGCUUUUAAAAAAAUAAAAAUAAAGAAAGAAGGUGAGAUUAGUGCCAAUACCAACAAAUAAAGUCAAUGGUCACCCAGUAUUUUUUUGGGCCUAAAUCAGUUUAGUAUUUUCUGGCUCAAGUUGGAUUUGAUUACUUAUAAACCAAGUUAUAAUUAUUGUUAAUGAAGCAUCUUGGGUUGACAAAGUGCCUGGAGUUAAGUGAUAAUGUAUUAAGUACUAUAAAGUGAAGCUGUCAACAUUUAAGUGCGAGACAAUUGAGAUUUGAGGUUGCGUAAUAACAAUCCCUAAUGUUUUCUUAUAUAUAAAGGAGUACUAGAUUCUUCCUUAAUUAAACAAAUAGAAAAGAGAGCGACAACUUUCAAAAAUUGAUUUCAUAAGACAAACGGUCAUUUAAGCUGAUUAAUUUUCAUUUAUUCUGUGAGAUCAUAGUCUCAAACAGAGUCAAAAUUAGAGUUAAGAUAUUCCAUAUUGGCCCCAAACUUUGUACAUUAAAUCAACAAUAACAAGUUGGCGUUUGUGAACUAUCUUAGGCCUUAAAAUAGAGCAUGAUUGUAUAUAUGAAAAAGUAUCAAAUCUUUUAAAUGAAUUUAUGUACUUCGAUAUAUUAAUUUUUGACUCUUGACUAAAAGUUACUUAGAUAAAAAAAAAACUCAGAGUAGGAUUGAACUUGAAAGAUGACUAUAGAUAUAAUACAAAAAGCCAUAUAACUGCGAUGCAUAAUUUCUUUGUUUGAGGACAACCAAACAGCACUUAUCAUAUUUCCUGCUACAAAGCCUCAUGCCCAGCAAGGUCAUCACAAAUUCAGAAUGGCAGAUUUUAAGGGACGGAUGCAUAUAUAGAUUUUAAUACUAAUAUAAAGUCAUUGAAAAUAAAUUUAUAUCAUUGCUUUCAUGAAAAAAUGGGGUGAAUUAAUUACUUUACAAAUGUCAACGAUCAAAAAAGAGAAGAGCAUGUGAAAAAGUGCUAUGAUGGAUGUGUCUAUUAUGGACGAUGCCAUCAUGCUCGAGUAUGAAAUUCUCGUCUUUUAUAAGCUUGCUUCUCAAGAUUUAUCAUAACUAUCCUUUGUCCAAAAAAAAGGUUGUAAAAUAGAAAAAGAAGAAAAAAGUUAACGAGGUUCAAGCCAAAAUAGCAUAAUGGGCAUUAAUCUUUAUUAAGUUACCAGUUACCACAUCUUUAAUUAAAAUUUGGCGUCACAAUAUUUGACUUGAGUUUAUCAUCUAGGAUAGUUAACUAGCUUUCACUUUACCACAUUUAAGAAAAAAGGGUAACUUUUUCUUUUCUGGAUCUCAUAUACCACGAAGCUAACAAAAAUUAUAUUGCAUGUAAAAAAAUUGCAUCCUAAUUAGGAUUCUAUCUAGGUCACAAUUAUUUUAUGUCCUGGAAUUUUGUUGCAAUCAAAUAGUUUUAGCGGAAUCCUAUUCUAUUCAUAAUGACUCUAAAAUAACAAUGAUAAGUACAUUCACAUUCAAGAUGACAACACAUUUAUUGAUAUUGAAACCCAUUCAUAAAAUUUUAAAAAUAAAUAAAACGCCACACGUUAAUCUAUCCCAAAAUUCAUUGUUUGAGGAAUGCUGAUUGCUAGUAGUAAGAUAUGAACCUUAAUUUUGUGGACACAUUUAGUAAAAGUAAUUGUUAAAUUUAAAUUAGUUAAUAAAAGAGUGGUUACUUUGAAAGUUUAAAGUUAUUAAAUUAGUUUAUUGAAUAUUAAAGUAUUAUAAUUUGAUAAAGAAUAUGCGUUUCCAUGACUAACUACAUUGAUUAACUAAUAAUUACCAUCAUAAAUUCAUAAUUAAUAGACAGCUGUAUCCAUAUUAGAUACACGAGUUUUGCAAGAAUUUGCUAUUAUCAAAUUAUGAAGCGAAAUAUUUGUCUUAUACUUUGAAUCGUUAGUGAAUGUGUUACACCUUUUUUAUUCAAUAAUUCUUAAUCCGGUUUAAAAUAAUUAUUAAAUGUCCUUAAUUUUAAACAAAUAUUGUUAUGUUUUAGUUUUUUCUAAAGCAAUGAUUACAUUUACCUUAUAUUUUUUUUUACUUUAGUAUUUUUGUCUCUCAUUUCACUAAAUAAAAAUACCAUAAGAUAAGUAUAAUACAGGGAAAAAAUCAAUGUUUCUUAAAUUUUGAAAGAGAAAAAAUAAUUUAUAACAAACUAAAACUUAAAACAAUAUUUAUCUUUAAAAAAUCAUAUUAAUGGGUUUAUUUUAUUUUGAAAAAGAGUUACUAUAGUAUACCUUGACAUAAAUAUUCAUGAUAAAUUAACAGCUAUUUAUUAAAUAAUUAUUUUAUAAUUAAUAUUUUUAAAAAAUUAAAUAUAAUCAAUCACAUGUCAAGGAUAUGUCUAACUUAGUUGAUUAAACACUAUAUGAGUUAUUAUAAAUCUCGUAUCUUUAAUUCUCACAAAUAAAAAAAAUCAAUCACAAAUAAUUAACAAAGUUACUUUUAAGUACUCUUACAAAAGAAAAUCAUGUUGACAACAAGAAUACAUGAAUAUAUUAAGAAAAAAAAACAAAAUACAUUAAUAAUUGAAUCAUAUUUGUCCCAUAAACACCUAAAAUAUCUCCUAAGAAACUUUAUGCAUAACUCAUAAGUGUCUGGCUCCCAAGUAUAUGAUUUUGCUUUUGAAAAUAAACCUUGUUUUAUUAAAAGUGGAAUUUGCGAUUGCUUAAAUUGGGGCUCUAACUGCCCAACUCCAUAUUAGAAUUUUGUUUCUUUAAUUUUUCCAAGUUAUAAUAACUCCAUAUUUAAUCACGUCUCAUGAUGAUGACGACAAACCCAGCAUUUCGUGUUAAUUUUGAGUCUUCCCAACUUCUUAUUCGUAUUAAUAACUCCCAUUGUCUGGCUCAUUUGCUAGUUAGGUUGCUUGUUCUACACGCAAAAAAUGUAACCAGCAGGGUGUUUUAUUAUGUAAGACAUACUCAACAUGGUGUCAUUAGUUAAAGAUCAUGUCGUUAGAGUUACGUUGUGCACUUAUAAUAAUAUAUGCAACCUGAAUCUCUCCUCUUAAAUUUUUUCCUAAACACACGUAUAUAUGUUUGUGGAAAUUCAAAUUUAGAUGCAAAAAAAAUUAACUUGAAAUGUACAAGUAAAAAAAGAAAAGAAAGUAGAUAAAAGACAUCAUGAUGCUAAUUGAGUUAAAGUUUACGGAUAAAAAAAUAAUUAGAAUAUAUUUAUAAUGUAAAGAUUUGACUUAAAUGUAACUUUAUUUUAUUUUUUUUAAUUUUGUAAUUUCACACACACGAUAAACAUAAUUAUGUCAUCUCUCCACCUACCUUUUCAUUAUAGUAAUGUAACUCUUCAAAUUCAAGAUACAUUUCACUACCUUUUGAAAUACACUUCUUAACUUCCCAAACACUUUAAUUUUAUAUUGAGAAUUUGAAUAUUUAUUUUCUCAAAAGAAACAAAUACAUCUAGAAUCCUAAAACUAUAGGAAGUACACUACGCAAUACAUUAAGACUAUUGGACUAAUGUCAAACAAUAAAAUUUACAUUUAUAAUAAUUAUUUUAAAGUUAAAACAUUUUUUUUACUUCUUCCAUUUCAAAACAAAUGACAUUUAACUAGCCAACAAAAACAAAUGACAUUUAAGUUUUUUUUUAUAAGGAUUAAAAAAAAUAGUGAGUCAAACAAUUUUACUAAAUUAUUUUCAUUGAUUAUUGAAAAAUUAAUACACACUUUUUUUUAUAAAAAAAAUCAUAUUAAUUAUUUAUUCAGGUUUAAAUUAAAUUAUAAAAUUCAUAUUGAAUUAAAAACUUAAAAUGUUACUUGAUAUUUUUUUUAUGUAGUAAAACAUCAUUAUACAGAUAAAGAUAUGGAUAACGAUAUAUUGUUAUCCUCUAAUUAGAAACUUAAAUUAUAUCAUUAACAUAAAUAAAUGUAGCUUUUUUAAUUAAACAAAACAUGUUGUUAAAAAAUAAACAAAAAAUAUGUGUGUGGUGUUCUACAAAAUAAAUUCUGACGAUCAAGUUAGCGAUAAUUAAGGUGUUUAUGUAUAUAUGUGUGGGAUGAUUAAAAUAUACCCAAUAGUUUUACCUUUAGAUGUAUAUAUACAUGUUGGAUUCUAGGGAGUUAUGUUUUAUAGGAAUGACGUUGGAUCAUAUUAAGUAACAUCUCAAAGGGGCGAAAUUUCUUAGGCCACACUGUAAACCUAAUAAAAUCAAACUAUAACUAAAGUUGAUAUUAAUGGUCUAACCUACUCGCUCGCAGUAUGCACCGACCAUGGUGAAAGCAUUACUCAUUGUCAACGUUGUUAAUUACUUUACCUCUUUCAAAUCUUUACUUACGUAAGUACAACAAUAAAUAAUAAUAACAAUAUCUUUUCAGAUUACCAGUUCUUGAAUUCUGAUAACCAAUAAAUAAUAAGAACAUUUUAGAAAAUAAAAAUGAUCUCUUUUUUUUAUAUAGUUUAUUGAUAUAAAAUAUGUCAAUGUACUUGGCACGAGGGUUGAAAGAUUCGAAGUUAACUCUCAUCAUCUUUAUAAAUGCAGAUUCAAUUUCCUCAAAUGUUCUAAAUCUUAGUUUAAGUAGUUGACAGUGACGGAUUUAGGGGGCAAUAACGAGGCCUUGCCUCUCCUUCUUGCAAUAACGAGGCCUUGGUUGAUUGGCUAGAAGAAAUUUUUUUAAAAAAUAUUAAUAAAAAUAGAUUUUUGAGUUAAUAUGUAUGUAAUUUUUUGCAUGUUAUUUAUAGUUUUAUACAUAAAUUUAUAAAUAAAUAUUUUUUUAAACUUAAUAUUUAUUAAACAUUUAUUUACUAGAAUUUAAAUAUUUAAAUAAUUGUCAAAAUGUUAUUUUUGGCCCAAUAUACUUCUGAAUCCGUCUAUGAUAGUUAAUCCAGUUAUAUAUGUUAUUAAUUAAUAUACAAUAAUUUUAUAUUAAUGAUAAACACACAGAACAAUUUGCAUAAUAUUUUUUUUAUCUUAUUGACCGUCCCAACAUAUAAUUAAAGUGCACUUAAAUAAUAAUAUUAUUUUUUAUCAGAAAUUUAUAAUUAUAUUCGUAUAUUUGGUUAACCGAUUCAGUUAAAUUUCUCUAUAAAUAAUACUCCUAUUUGAAAUUUUGGAUGUAUUUUAAAGUUAUCACUUUUUAAUAAAACUAACAUCGAAAUCCGUGUAGUAUACGAUUUUCUAAAAAAAUAAUAAUAUAAAAUUUUUAAAUUUUUUAAUUUUAAAAAUUAAAAUGCGUUAGAAAAAAUAAAUAAAGAAUUAUUAUAUAUAUAUAUAAGAAAAUAAAAUAUGAUGCAAUGAUUUUGUUUCCGUUUGUACUAAGUUUGAAAAUCCUACAAGCUAUAUGAAAGGGAGGAGACAAUAGCUAAAAGGAGGAAAAAGGGUGUCAUUAAUUGAUUGAAUGGAAUCACGUGAGUACGAGGCGCAGGCACUAGCCUCGUAGUAGUUGACCCAAUCCAACAAAUCAAAUCAAACAUUACAUUUUUUAUAUUAAAUUAAUCAAUUAGUUUAUUUUAAUUAAUUAAAUUAGAAAAGUGAGAAAUAAAUUCUUUAAUAUAUUAUUUUAAAUACAUCCAUUUUAAUUAAUUAAAAAAAUAGAACAAUUAAAUUAAAUAUAACAUCUAUAAAAAUUUAUAAUUCUUAAUAAAUUUUGAAAAUAAUAUAUUCAAACAAGUGUGCUAGAGAUAUUUCUUUAAACAAUAAGUUAUUCAUCUGAAUGAUGUUAAAUUUAAUUUUAAAUUCAAGAUUUAUAGGUAAAAAAUAUAAUUAAUUUUUUUUAUUAAAAAUAACCUGUCAAAUUCUUUGACAUAAUUUAAUUAUAAUAAAACUACUGAUAAAUAUUUUACAUUAAUAUCAUAGUAUAAAAAAUAUUUUUUUUUCAUUAAAUUAUUAUAAUUAAUGAUCAGAGUCACUGGCCAUUGGGUCACCCAUUCCCCGUGACGUUCGGCCACCGUACCGUGGUUCCCUUUCCUUCACCUUAACCCACACUCUCCCCGUCGCGUGCAUUCCACUGCCUCCAACGUUUUUCGUAAUUGUUUUGUUGUGUUAAAAAAUCGCAUGAGUAAAUUCAAUUUUCCGAAUCUUCAAAAUCAGAUUCCAUUUGUCUUAAUAUAAUGUAGCUUAGUGAAUAAAUUCCAACAUAGCAAUCCUACACUUUGUAGCUUUAAUUGCAAUUCAAAAUUUGAAACCUAGAAACAUAUGCGGUGUCAAAUCAAUGCCGCUAUAAAUUGUAUACCCCACAGAUGAUAAAAGUAUAAUACGUAAGAAUAAGAUCAAUACAUAUUAUUUAUCAAAACUAUACAAAUAAUAUUUAUUUUUUUUUAUCUAAACAUUAAUUUUGAAAUUCACAUAAACUAAUAUUUUUUUUUAAUAAAAUAGUGAAUAUUUUAUUUUAUUAUUUUAAAUAUGUAGAGAUAAUGUUCUAAAAUCAAGUUUCUCAACCAAUGAGAAUACUGGAAGAAGCUAAUGUAUGUUACAAUACGAAGAAUGAAAAUUUGAAUUUUUUACCAAGAGAAAAUAUCCAUAUUUAUUUUCUAACCUAGUUUUUAACAACUUUAUCUUCAAAGAAGAUAAUGUAGAAAUAAAAAAUAAAAAACAAGUUAUUUUCAUAGAAUCCGCGUGACUCAAUAAAAUUACAAUUAGAUAGGAUAAGAAAAAUAAGAUAGGAUAAAAAUAUAAAUUAUAAGAUAAAUUUUUAUCUUGUACAUCAUUUAACAAAUAAUAGAUGAUACAAGUAAAAUAAUAUAAAAUUUAUUAAAAUACAUAAUAUUAAUUAUCUUAAUACAAUUGAUAUCAAUUUUAAUGAGUUUAUCAAAAUAAAAAAAAUAGAGAGAGAUUAUAAUUAAAAAAAUCAGUAUUUCCUUUUUAAAAUAAUUAUGGUGGUUAGUUACUAUUUUUUCAUUUAUUAAAAAUAUAUAAAUAAGGAUAUAUGUGUUUUUAUAAUACUUUAUAUAUGAGAAAAAAAUUGUCUUACAAUCUAAAUAACAAAAAUUAAAGAUUUUUUCAUAUCCUCAUUUGUUUAACUUGUGUUAUUUCUUAUUUUUCUUCAAAUCAAGGGUAGAAUAAAAAUAUUUAUUUUGUCAAUACCAUAAUUUUCAAAGAAUCAAACCGAAUAGUAGUUGUAUCUCUAAAGUUAUUUAAGAGUGCUGUGUUGUGAAUGAUAAGAAUGGAGUAAUAUUGUUGCCACUCAAAACUGCAUUCAUCAUUUUCUUGGUUAUUACUCAAUUCAUUCUCUCUUUUUUUUAUACAGUUUAAGUUAAUUAUUCUUCACGAAAAAUAUUUAUUAGUUAUCGCUAUUUUUAUAUGAAUAUAUUGUUUGAGAGAGUGUGUUAAUUUUUUUUCUUUCAUUUUCAUGUUUAUUACUUUUUUUUAUAAAAGUAAUUAAGUAUGUUUAACGAUUUCAAUCAAGUACUAUUUUCUUUAAAAUAUUUCAUUAUAAAAAUUUCUUAAUGUAAACAAUUGUUAAAAAUGCUAUAAAUAUUUCUUUAUCAAUAAAAUUUACCAAAAGACCAGAAGUGAUAGCAAUUGGCUAUCUUAAUAUCUUUGUUUAUCCAGGUUCUCGAGUUGAAAUCUUAUAACUAACACUUACAUCGGUCAGAUAUCAUCUUCAUUCAAUCUUUACUAAACAAUAAUAAUUAUCAUAUUUACUAGUCAAUUUCAAAUUAGUUAGAUCAGUUUUUCUCGAUGUACGGAGUGAUUAAAACAACAAAAAAUCUUAUAAAUAAAAGACAUUAAAAUGACCUUUAAAUGACAAUAUAUCAAAAAAAAUAAAUUAUACAACUAUUACAUUAUUUAACAUCCCCAAAUUGAAGCAAAUUAUAGGCCUCGGAUUUUCGUUCCACCGAAAACAAAGAAAAUUUGGUAUUGACUACGAGGAGAGGUCAAGCACAGUGGCUGGGUUAAGAUUGUCAACUUUUGUGAACUAACCAUCACUCCAUUUCAUUAGAAUUUUUUUCAGUCUUUCACAAUCUUUGUUAUUUUAUCUCAAUCCACGAAAAAAGUCUUCGACUUAUUUAUGCCGUAGUUUAAUUGCCUAUUUGGAUUUGGAUGUGAGGAAAAAAUGAGGAAAAUAUAUAGAUAAUACUUUAUUUUUAUUUAUUUGAUUGAAGAUUUUUUUAAAUAAAAUAAAAAUUAUUUUCAUGUCUAUUUAAAUUCUUAAACAAAAUAUUACCUACAAUUCUCUUCUAUUAAAUAAAUAGAGGAUAAAACUAAAUAAAAAUAUUGAAAGUUAAAAACCUACUCUGUUGUAUACUUGGAUGAGAAGUGAAAUAAAGACGAAAAAAAAGAAAUAAGAAUAAGAAUAAUAGAAAUAGAAAUAGAGGGAAAAUAGAAUAAAAAAAUGUUAUUUAGAUUGAUAGAAAUUGGAAGAAAGGAAGAAGAGAAUUUCUUUAUAUUUGUUUAGAUGUAUAGAAAAAGAUAUUGUGAACAAACAAAUGAAUUAAAAAAAUAUUUUUACAAUAAUUAAAAAUACAAGCACAUCAUUAAUUUAUUACCAACACAAAAGCUAAGCUUCUCAUUAUUUAAUAACCAAAACACAUCUUUAAUUCUAUGAAAUUAACACAAGUUAUAAUACUACUUCAAAUAUAUGUGAAUUGAAGAACCUUUUGCCGUAGAUAGUUUGUACAAUAUAAAGAGUUACACUUAUCCCUAACAUCAAAAUGCAAAAAAUGUUGAACAUCUUCAACAUCUCCUACUAUAACUGUGCCUUAUACAAGUUCAUAAUCCUUCUCCUUUGUUUCAUAAUGACCGACCAUGUCUUUCCGUCCACAAUUUCUUAGAAUAUUGAUGAAAAAAAUGACAUCCGAUGUCUUUCUUUUCUACAUUAAAAAAGUUUCAGUAAUUAAUUGAGAAACCACAACUUUUUAGGAAAUAAAUUUUAAGAAUCAUCAGCUUAUUAUGGAGUAAACCUAGAAACUCAUCAUUAGAUCGGUAGUUGUUUUAGCGGUCACAAAAUCGCACUCUCUCCACAGUGGCUUGGAGGUGCCCAUUUGCUUGUCCUACUAAUGAACGGAUCUGGGAAUCCACGACUUUAGACAAAUUCGGCCUACUCUUGCAAUUACAUGAAUGAGAAUCCAUAGUUGGUCCUGAAAGUGGAGGAACCUUGAUUUUGAAAUUAGGUGAGAAAACUCUCGAUAUUUUUAUUUUAAUUUGGGAGGAAAACAUUUCCAACAAUAACAAUUAGAGUAAAUAGUAAAAUUUAUCUUCAUAUAAUGAUAAAUUAAUCCCUAAAAAAUAAAAAAAAUAUAAAUUUAGUUUUAAAAAAUAUAAUAAAUUAAUCUUGUGUGUAUACUAUUACACAAAGAUUAUUUGUGAUUGGAAUGAUGGAAAAGAUAACAUUUGGAUAAAAUUAUACCAUAGUUAUGAAAUUUGAUUCGGUCUAACUGGUCGAUUCUAUUAUUGGAUCGGUCACACAAUUGACUCAAAAUGAUCCGGCCAAAUUCGACUAGUUAGGUCAUCGGGAUCAAUCCGAUCCGGUCAAUUUUACAAAAAAAAUGAAUCACCUUUACAACGUCAUUUUGAUAUCUCAUUAUUAUCAAUUAUUAUUUUGAAUUUUUGAGUAUAAAUAAACUUUUCUUAAUCAAAUAAUAUUAGUUAUAUACUUAUAUACAAUAAAUACAUAUAUAAUUUUAUUUUUUUAAUAUAUAUCAGGUCAAACUGGAUUAAUUAUUGAUCCACUGGUUAGACCACUAACCUAUUACCUCAACCGGACAAUGAUCGAACCAGGACUCACACCUAUGCAUUAUACACAUAAAAAAAUAUAAUGAAUUUUAAAAAGAUAAUGAAAAAAUUAAAAAUAAAAUAUGGACCAAAAAUAGUUUUUAGUUUAUUUUUGUUUUUAAAAAUAUAUUUGGAAGAAUUUAUAUCAACUAUUUAUACAUAUUUUUAACUUCUAUGCAUCAUUUUAAAUUAUUUUCAAUUUUAAUUUAAUGAUGAUGUAAUCAAAACAUAAACAGUUUUAUAUUAUUAUUUAAUAAUAUUUUAUUAUAUAUAAUAAAUUUAUUUAUUUUAAAAACAAAUGUAUUAAAAAUUAUAUCAAUAAUAUUUUAUGAUUUUUUUAAAGAUAAUAUCAAUAAUAUUUUGUGAUUGGUCAGUGGCCGAAUAAUUUUUUUUCUAUUGACAAUAAGUAAUUAUUAAACGCUUUAAAUUUACCUUCAAUAUAUAUGUGUAUGUUGGACAAUGAUAUUUCAAGACUCCCAUAACACCAACACCUCAAAUUAAAAUCCUCUAUUUCUCUUUUCUGGUUGUAUCAUGUUAUUAAUAGCAUCAAUAACUCAUUUGUUCUCUUAUUUUAUUCAAGUGUUUACGUUCAAAAGAGUGUCCAAAUAUAUUUUUCUAUACAUGUUUACGUACUAGAAAUUUGAAAUAUUCAAAACAUGCAAACCAACCGUAAUAAUGGAAAUAGGUUCAAGCAAGUGUGCGUCCACGCGCAUAAUUGAAACAUGGGUUUUGAACUUUGAACUUUGAACGUUGAAGCAACGAAAGAAAGAAGCUAUUUUCCCUUGUUCCUCGUUUUAGCUCAUCCCAAGUUGUCCAAUCCAUUGUCACUCACCACUACAGACAAAAUUAGGUGCCCCGCAUUGACAAUAAGAGAGAGAGAGAAAUGGGGUUUGCGUUCCUAAGUCAGCAACUCAGACUUUUGCUGUUUCUGCCUUUGCAAUGCAAUGCCUCCUAGCUAACACAUUUUUUGUCUUCUCUCAUCAAAUCCAUAUAUAAUUGUACAUAAGUCAGCCCCUGCCCCUUUGUCCUUUUUCAAAUCUACCAACUAAUAUAAAUAUUAAUAUUAAAUACUAUAAUACUGAUUAUCUCCCUAUCAAAAUGUCUUCAUAGUUCAUAUAUUAGGAAUAGAAUUAUGAGUAAUAAAUGUUUUUUUUAAUAAAAAAGCUAAAUUGGUGUUACAUCAAUAAUAUUCGUUAAUUUUUUUUAAUAAUAAUAAAUUAAUAUACAAGUCUUUUAUAUUAUAUUAACAUUAGUUUCACUCAAGUAUCAAUUAAGUUUAGAUUCUCUGCAAAAAUCACGAAUUAGAAUUUUUUAGAUAAUUUAUAUUUAUAACAUCAUAAAAAAAUGUUUUAUAUCAUUUAAUUAUAAAUUAUAUAUAGGAUCGUUUAAAACCGAACCAUUUCUUUUAGAAAUUGUCAACUAAUUAAAAAAAUCUGUAAAUAUCAAAAACCUCAAAAAUCACAUGUUUUUGGUGAUUUGUUUUGAUCUUCGAAUCUUGUUAUAAAAUCAAACUAAACUGCAUAUUAUAAAUAUAUUAAUUUUAUUUAACAUUAUAUAACUGGUAUUCUUUAAGUUUUUUGAUGAUUAUGGUAUGUGAUUUAUAGGGUAUUUUUUUUAAUAAUGAGUAUGUAAUAAGUGAUUUUUGUUGUGAUAAUUAAUAAUAAGUAUUAAAUGAUUUAUGAAAUUUCCUUUCCUUUAUAAUUAAUAUGCAUAUUUUGCUUUCAUAUGUUAAAAAAAAUAUGUACUAAAAGUUAAAUAUCAAGUGAUGUAUAAUUUACUAUUAUGCUAAAAAAAUUAGUAAUAUCAUUUUAUAAAAUGCUCAAUAAAAUUAAAAAUAAUAAUUUCAACUAAAACAUAUUAAACAAAAUUUGAUAAAAAAAAUACAAUUUAAUGUUAAAAUAAUAUAACAUAAUAAUUAAAUAAGGCUACUUAAUAAAAGAUAAGAAACUCACCAAAUCCACUCAAAUCAAAUCACAAAAUAUUAGUUUAGUUUAAUUUGAAUUUGAUGUUAUAUUUAAAUGAAAUCAAACUAAAUUAUAUUUUUAUUUUAUAUUUGAUUUGAAUGAUUUUUUUUAAAGAUUGAAUUAAACUGGAAACACUCCUAAUUAUAUAUAAUAAAUUUAUUAGUUUUUAUAAAAAUUAUUUAAAAUUCAAAAGAAAUAUUUUUUUAUUGAUUAAUAAUGUAACUUUUUUUUUUACAUUAAUACUACAUGGACUUAAAUUGUUAAAUAAAUUGAUAUAUAUUAAUAUAAGUAGUAAUACAUUUAAAUUCUUACGAGAGAUAUUUUUAAUAUACUUUAUUAUUGUAUCAUUAAAUACUUCCUGGACUUAAAUUGUUUAUUAAAUUGAAAAUUGAUAUAUAUUAAAUGCUAUUAAUUAAUAUUAAUAAUAAAAAUAAGUUAAAGGAGGUUAUUUAUUUCUUAUAAUAAAUAUUUAGAUUCUGGGUAAAGAGAGAGAACUUUCCUUUUCUGUCUUUUACCAUUAUUACCAUUACUACACAUCUCUCCUACAUCAUGGUUCCUUGAUUUGAGAUAUCUGCUAUCCUUGUCUUCCUCUAGAUUCUAUCUAUCACUGUUUAGGUUUGAAAAUCUGAGAGAGCUGACAGUUAUUACCCUUUGACAGAAAAAAGAAAAAAUUAAAAUCUUUGGAAGAGGAAUUAUAAAAAAAAUAAUAAUAAACAAAGGUUUUGGUUUGGAAGCUGAAGGGGGCCCGUUUGAUGAAAGUUUGUUGAGAUUAGGUUCUCAGGGCACUGUUGCUAGCUUCCCUUUUCUUUGUACUGCUUCUUCAGAUCACCUUUAAGCAUAAAUUUCAAACCUUUCUUGUUUCUGCUGCACCAAGCAAACAAAGAUUUCACUUUUGUGCAAAAGGUUUUGUCUUUGGAGGGGUGUUGUGUUGUGAUUCCUGAGAGAUCCCGUGGGAUUUUUUUUUUCAUGUUAAAUGGUGUGUGUUGAGUUGAGUUUGAGGUGAAGGGUUUUUGUUUUUGGGGUCAAAGAUCUUACAUUUCAGGUGGGGACUGAGGGAUCUCACACCCUCUACUUGUUUUGUUGAUUGUUUUCUCACUUUCAUUUUUUAAUGGUCACUGUUGAUUGCUUCGUCCGCAAGCUGUUGCCAUAUGGUCCCUGUUCUACUUUCUUUGGUGUUUGGGGAAUUGGGAUAUAAGUAUCUUCAUUUGGGCAUCUUAUCUCUUUCUUCAAGGGUGGUGUUUCUGAAUCUGCUUUCAGAUUGAGUAGGGGCUCUCCCACUGUCUCAUAUCUCUCUUGUUCUUGGGAUUUGGUUCUGGUGGGGAUUGGUGAACCAUAUCUUUUCCUUGAAAAUGGGGCUUUUCACUUGCAAGGUGCAAGUUGUUGUUUGCUGCAGUUUGAGGGUUGAAAGUCUUGCAGUUGUGACAAAAAGUUACUUAAUUUACUUCAGUUGUGGUUCUUCUUCUCAAGUUCAGUGAUACUAUUAGCUUCUGCUGUGUUCAUGCAUGAUUCUGAGCUGAGUAUAUCAGUUUGGUUUCAGCAAUGGUGCUGUUAAGAUGUUUCUCAGUGACACUUUUGCAGUGGUGUUUCUUGGCUUGCUUACUUUGCUUGUCACUAGGGCUUAAUAAUAAUAAUAAUCAAGCCCUAUCUUGUGACCCUCAUGAUUUAUCAGCUCUGAAGGAGUUUGCUGGCAACCUUACAAGUGGCUCUAUCAUCACAGCAUGGUCCAAUGACACUGUCUGCUGCAAUUGGCUUGGAGUUGUUUGUGCUAAUGUGACUGGUGCUGCUGGUGGAACAGUGGCUAGUAGAGUGACCAAGUUGAUCCUUCCCGAAAUGGGUCUCAAUGGUACAAUUUCACCCUCUUUGGCACAGCUAGAUCAGCUCAAUUUGCUGAAUCUUUCAUUCAAUCAUCUUAAGGGUGUUUUGCCUGUGGAGUUCUCCAAAUUGAAGCUGUUGAAGUAUCUUGAUGUGAGCCAUAACAUGCUGUCUGGACCUGCUGCUGGAGCUCUUUCUGGUUUGCAAUCCAUUGAAGUGUUGAAUAUUUCUAGCAAUUUACUUACUGGAGCUCUCUUCCCUUUUGGGGAAUUCCCUCAUCUCCUUGCUCUCAAUGUGAGUAACAAUUCAUUCACUGGCAGAUUCAGUUCACAAAUUUGCAGGGCCCCCAAGGAUCUUCACACCCUUGAUUUGUCUGUAAAUCAUUUUGAUGGUGGUCUUGAAGGCUUGGACAACUGCGCCACUUCUCUCCAAAGGCUGCAUUUGGAUUCCAAUGCAUUUGCUGGCUCUCUUCCAGAUUCCUUGUAUUCAAUGUCAGCCUUGGAGGAACUCACAGUCUGUGCCAACAAUUUAUCUGGCCAGUUAACCAAGCAUCUAAGUAAGCUCUCUAACCUAAAAACUUUGGUGGUUUCUGGGAACAGGUUUUCUGGGGAAUUCCCAAAUGUGUUUGGGAACCUUUUGCAGCUAGAAGAAUUACAAGCACAUGCCAAUUCAUUUUCUGGACCCUUGCCUUCCACCUUGGCUUUAUGCUCUAAGCUUAGGGUGCUUGAUCUUAGAAAUAAUUCCUUGUCAGGGCCAAUUGGUCUUAAUUUCACUGGCUUGUCUAAUCUUCAAACACUUGACCUUGCUACUAAUCAUUUCAUUGGACCCCUUCCAACUUUCCCUGUCCUAUUGCCGAGAAUUGAAAGUUUUAAGCCUUGCUAGGAAUGGUUUAACUGGUUCUGUCCCUGAAAACUAUGGCAACCUCACUUCACUUUUGUUUGUAUCCUUCUCAAACAACAGCAUUGAGAACUUAUCUGGGGCAGUGUCUGUUCUGCAGCAGUGCAAAAAUCUCACCACCCUUAUCCUCUCUAAGAAUUUCCAUGGUGAGGAAAUUUCAGAAAGUGUGACCGUAGGAUUUGAGAGUCUUAUGAUUUUAGCACUUGGGAAUUGUGGUCUUAAAGGCCAUAUUCCUUCUUGGUUAUUCAAUUGCAGGAAGUUGGCAGUUCUUGAUUUGUCUUGGAACCAUUUGAAUGGUAGUGUUCCUUCUUGGAUUGGUCAGAUGGACAGCUUGUUCUAUUUGGAUUUCUCAAAUAAUUCUCUCACAGGAGAAAUACCAAUAGGUCUGACAGAGUUGAAGGGCCUCAUGUGUGCAAACUGUAAUAGAGAAAAUCUUGCUGCUUUUGCAUUCAUUCCUCUCUUUGUUAAGAGAAACACAAGUGUAAGUGGACUGCAAUAUAACCAGGCCUCAAGUUUCCCUCCUUCAAUUCUCUUGAGCAAUAACAUAUUGAGUGGAAAUAUAUGGCCUGAAAUUGGUCAAUUGAAAGCACUGCAUGCCUUGGAUUUAAGCAGGAACAACAUCACUGGUACCAUUCCUAGCACAAUUUCAGAGAUGGAGAACUUGGAAUCAUUAGAUUUGUCUUAUAAUGAUCUUUCUGGAGAAAUUCCUCCAUCAUUUAACAACCUCACAUUCUUGUCAAAGUUCAGUGUGGCACAUAAUCACUUAGAUGGACCAAUUCCAACUGGAGGGCAGUUUUUAAGCUUCCCUAGUUCAAGUUUCGAGGGCAACCAGGGGCUUUGUAGGGAAAUUGAUUCUCCUUGCAAAAUUGUCAACAAUACAAGUCCCAACAAUUCUUCUGGUUCUUCCAAAAAACGUGGUAGAAGCAAUGUCCUUGGCAUUACAAUCAGUAUAGGGAUUGGGCUUGCACUGCUUCUUGCAAUUAUUCUGCUAAGGUUGUCAAAGAGGAAUGAUGAUAAGUCUAUGGAUAACUUUGAUGAGGAACUCAAUAGCAGGCCACACAGGUCAUCCGAAGCACUUGUUUCCUCAAAGUUGGUGCUUUUUCAGAAUUCAGAUUGCAAGGAUCUUACAGUUGCAGAUUUGUUAAAAUCCACAAACAAUUUCAACCAGGCAAAUAUUAUUGGUUGUGGUGGGUUUGGUCUUGUCUACAAGGCAUAUCUUCCAAAUGGCACAAAAGCAGCAAUCAAGAGACUUUCAGGGGACUGUGGCCAGAUGGAACGUGAAUUCCAAGCUGAAGUAGAAGCCCUCUCAAGAGCUCAACACAAGAACCUUGUUUCUCUGAAAGGUUAUUGUCGGCAUGGCAAUGAAAGAUUGCUAAUAUACUCAUACUUGGAGAAUGGAAGCUUGGAUUAUUGGCUACAUGAGUGUGUCGAUGAAAGUUCAGCUCUCAAAUGGGAUUCUAGACUCAAGAUUGCACAAGGCGCUGCUCGUGGAUUAGCUUACUUGCAUAAGGGGUGUGAACCAUUCAUAGUGCAUCGAGAUGUUAAAUCUAGCAACAUACUUUUGGAUGACAAGUUUGAAGCUCAUUUGGCUGAUUUUGGUCUCUCGAGGCUACUUCAACCAUAUGACACUCAUGUCACAACAGACUUGGUAGGAACUUUAGGAUACAUUCCUCCAGAAUAUAGUCAGACACUGACAGCAACCUUUAGGGGUGAUGUUUAUAGUUUUGGCGUUGUUCUUCUUGAGCUUCUUACUGGUAGAAGGCCUGUGGAAGUCAUCAAGGGGAAAAACUGCAGGAAUCUGAUGUCUUGGGUGUAUCAGAUGAAAUCCGAGAAUAAGGAGCAGGAAAUUUUUGAUCCAGCAAUUUGGCAUAAGGAUCAUGAGAAACAGCUAUUGGAGGUGCUUGCCAUUGCUUGUAAAUGCCUAAACCAAGAUCCUAGGCAGAGACCUUCUAUUGAAGUAGUUGUUUCAUGGCUUGAUAGUGUAAGAUUUGCUGGUUCUCAACAGUGAUCUUAGUUGCAUUCCUGCCCUGAUAUUUGGGUUUUGGUUGGUGUAUCAUUGACUAAAAAGUUGUAAAGCAAGUUUGUUGUAUGAAGGUGGAAUGUUAUUGAUACAGUAGUCCUUAUUUCGUUUUUUAGUCCCUUAGUUCAUUAAUACUGAUAGGUGUAAUAUGUAUAAAUGAUAAUUUUGGCAAUGAGAUCGUUUUGCAAUAAACAGUAUGAGUAUUUUUCUUUUUUUCCUGUUGAUAAUUUGUGGCCAAUUGUUAGUGAUUUUAAUGUUAUGUCUUAGUCGGACUUGUUCACUGUGCCCCUGCAUGUGCAUGUGAUGCAUGGCAAGUUAUGACAAAAUUUCUAAUACUUCCAAAUUAGGUGUCUUUUCUUCUCAGGCUGACUUCUUUACCUGGUCUAAAUCACUCAGUUUUGGAUAUUUUUGUCUAUUCCUGAUUGUUGGUAAGAUUCACUUUGUGUGGCUAAUAUUUGUGGUUUAUGCUUGUUCCUAAAAAGCAUGCAUGCACUAUUUCUUUUUCUUAACAAGAGUUGAUUCCAAGUAGUAUAACUUGUAUAGUCUCUACAACAUAUUGCAAACUUAAUUGACUCACUAAAUUCAGGUGUUUCCUUAAUCCUUAUUUCAACAAGGAAAAAUAAAUCAAUAGAAGCCUAGCAAAUUGUCUCAGACAGCCACUCUUGCGGAGGCACAUUUGUGGCAUUAGUUAGCAAGAUAAAAGUCUUGCCUGAAUAAAUUACUAUAUUGUUUUAGUAAUCUAGUUUUCUUGAACUAUCUAUUCCAUUUUGUAACCAGCCAUGAAUAUAUAGCAAAUUUUGUGGUGCUUGUUGAGAUUUUUAUCUUCUAAUGCUGGGUUAUAACAAACAACCUCUGCAGUAGAAGUUCAUUUCAUUAACUCAUUUUGGUGUUUAUGCCUCUUCAACUCACUUUUGUCUAGUAUUCAUGUCAUACUUGUUUCUUCUAUGUGACUGGCUUAUGCCUUCCCAAAAUCCGCUGCAGGAUAAUGUAGAUAUAAGAAUCUUUUCUACCUAUAGCAAGUAAAUUCCUUGCUCUUUUUCAUUGCAAAAUCAAAGACUAUCCAGUAGCAAAAAUCUAUUCAGUGACUAGAUCAGGAAAUAAUAUUUGCAUGAUACCUUGUUUUCCAAACUAUGCUAUUUUUCUUAUGGAAAAUAAUGACUGAAAACGAGUUGCUAGCAUAGGUGUGAAACCGGGCCCAAUCAUUGAUUCGGUCGAGGUAGUGAGUCAGUUAAUCAGUAGUCCAACUGGUGGAUCAGUAAUUAGUCCGAUUUGAUCCGAUAUAUAUUAAAAAUUUAAAAUUAUAUAUGUAUCUAUUAUAUAUAAGAAUAUAACUAAUAUUAUUUGAGUGAGAAAAGUUCAUCCAUACUCCAAAAUCCAAAAUAAUAAUUGAUAAUAAUGAGAUAUCAAAACGAUGUCAUAGAUGUGGUUCAUUUUUAUUAUUUUUUAUUUUUUUGUAAAAUCGGUCGGAUCAGACUGGUCCAACCGAGAUCCGACACUUAACUGGUUAGGUUUGAUUAGAUCAAUUGUGUGAUUAAUCCAAUAAUAGAACCAGUCUAAGUAGGUCACCAAGUUUUGGUUGGACCAAUUCAACCGGUUAAUUGAGUUUUACAACUAUGGUUGCUCGACUUGAAUUUUCAAGUGAAGGAGGGUUUUGAUGGGAGAAAAAAACAUUGACUACUUUCUUCUAACGAAAUUGGUGACGGGAUUAUCCCUUCAAUCAAAAAGAGAAUAACAUUUCUUAGUGGUUUGUUUAAUGGAGGAUGGACAAAACAACUGAAAACGCGGGGCAUCAUCAUGGCCAUAACAAGAUGAGUGGAACAUGCACCAAGGAAUUCAUCAAUUGGUUGAAGAAAUAAACCCCAUCAUAGCAUUGAUGUGAAAUUCCACUGCCAUCUAUAAUACAUGGGACUGUCUUUUCCAUGUUGAAACCCCUCUCAUAUGAUUCCAUUACUUUAAUUGGCAGGAGCUGGCUGCGGAACACCAACACUCAAAAGUGGCUUUUCUAUAGGAAAUGGACGAAACUUUUCUAUGGUUGCUCGAAAUUCUAUAUUGACAAAAAAGUUUUGAUUAAUCUAAAAUCCCAUGAAACCAACCACAAAGUUGCAAUAACACAUUUAAAUAUAUGCUGUAGCUUUUUGGGCAGCUGAGAACUCUCUCCAUUGUGAACUCACCUAAUACAAAAUGGGUGGUUAUAAACAUAUCCAAGCAAUGUCUCUUCCGCGUAUGGUGACUAAUAAUGCCUUGUAUAUUAAUAUGGUACUUCAGACAUAAAAAAGUAGAAAUGAUGUUGGUCAAGUCAUUAUCUAUGAAAGUAGAAGCAAUACGUUCCCAUUUUAAAUUGAAAUUUUCAACUACAAAAUGAGGCCAAGUAAUAAGGAAAUGUUCUCCUCUGAUUUGAUGUGUAGUUGAAAAUAGAGAGGCAUAGGAGAAAAUAGUGGAUAAAAAAGUAAGAACACAAGGGUACAAGAUAGACAAAAAUUCCUGGGACCCCACAAUAAUUAGCAUGAGGAUAGCCAUGGACCUGGAUACCCAACUUUGGCUCUCCUUCCCUUUUUCAUGUUUAAAGCUUAUAUCGAAUAGGAGUUUUGGGUAGAAUUUGCAUAGAGUUUUAGGUUUAUAAAAAUCGAGAGUAAAUUAUUAGAUACUUUUUGUAGAACUAAUUGUAUUGACCUAAAAAUAAGAAAAGAUAAUGAUGUAAUACAUUUUCGGGUGAACUAAAAUAUCUCUUAACAUGAAGGAAAUUAAAGAUUAAUUCUUCGAGAUGCUGAUAUUUAUUUAAGAGACUAGCCUCUGCAAAAGGAAUGGUCUGAUCCUAUAACUCUCAAAAUACUUUCCACGACUAGAGAAACGAUUCUAGUAUCCAACAAAUGGCACGUAUAGACAAGGCUUUUGACCGGCCGAAAUGAGCACAUAGUCAAACAUUAGGGUAAUUCUAUUGCCAUUCUUCUCUCUUCACAUCUUCUCUUAUUUCCAAAAUUAGUUUUGACUUAUUUUUUACAUUUAGAUAUCUAAUCUUCAAAAUAUAAAAAAUAGGAAUUCAAAGUGCAAAAAAGAAAAAAAAAAUGUAAAUUGAAUCACCCCAAACAUUAUUUAAGCUGAGAUAGCAAAGAUAGAACCCCACGUAGUCCCAAUAGUAACUUAGUGGACUAAAUUGGGGACUUCCCAUUUUCUAGGCCUCCUCAAAUCACAUGGAAACAACAGCUACCAAAACUUACACUAAUUAUUUAUAUAUUUGAGCCCAACAAAAAACAAUGCUUAAAUUAAAAACAUCACGAGUGCCUCUUACAUCAUAAGUAGUUCUUGCGCCUAGAAUGUCUAGACAAAUUCAUUCUUAUCUAAAUUCUAUUUGUAUUACUGUUUGGUUUUAUAUUACAACUCUUUUGCGACUAUCAAAAUUGAGAAAAAUCAGAAAUAUAUGCAAUUGAUGUCAUCACAAUCUUGUGAUGACUUCAAGAUAAAAAUAAAAUAAAAUAAACAAUAUUUUCAAGAUCGAAAUAAAUAAAAGUAGAAGAUGGUACAAAAUAACCUGUCAAAUAGAACUACAGAAGAUACAUGCAUUUGUUUUAGUUCUUACUCAGCAAAUGCUGAAUGACACAUGUCACGAACGUGUCCAUCCAAAACUCUUUCAUCGUGUUACUCAAAAACUCUCAAAUGCUGCCUUCACCGAUUAAUAAUCCUAAUAUAUAUCAAUGCUAACAAUAAAAGUGAGGUAGCUAUUUACUAGAAGAAGAGAUAUAGCAAAUGAGCAGCACCAAGGUUACAAAUGUUGUUAACCAAGAAAACAAUCCUUGGGGUCUCCAAAUCGAUUCCCUUUUACGUUUCUCCUCCCCUUUCCACGGCUUCUUUAUCCACUGCUUAUGAACGUGCCGAAGUAUAUAUCCCUCUCCUCUCUUGAUACAAAUUUUGACUAUAUAUUAAUUGAAAGAGAAAUGCUUUGCAACAACAUAUUUAUAGAUAUAUUCUUUUGAACAUUUUUAUUAUAAGCUUGUGUAGAUUUUACUUCUUAUUUAAUUUGUAUUUUUCUCAUUUUAUAAUUUCAAACAAAUCUUCAAUAAACCAUAAAAAGUGUUUUAAAAUGAAUGUUUUGAAGUAUGUUAACACUUAUCAUUAACUCAAUAUACACAGUAACAUAUGUUAAGAAUUACUUUUUUUAACGUGUAAAUGAGUGUGAAUAUCAUAUGAUUAAUAUGAUAUAAAUUAUCAUGGGGAGUUGAAAAUUAAAUGUUGCAGGGUAGUAAUGCAGUGGCAAAAGGAAGUAGUGAAAAUGGGGCGAUGAAGAGGGAGGAUAUGGAUGAAGAGAAACAAGAAGACCUGCUGUGAUAAUAUUUAAUUUUACAUAUAUUUAUUUUAUUAUAAAAUUUUAUUUUAAUAGAAAUUAACAAAUAUUUGUUCUUAUUUAUCAUAAUUUUUAGAAAAAUAUAAGCUAAUAUAUAGAUUAUUUUAAAAAAUAUUUUAUAUAAUUUAUACAAAUUACAUAAAUUUAAAUAAUCUAAAAAAUUAAAAAUUUAUUACUUUUAUAAUUAAAAUAAAACUAGAUUUAUUUAUAUAUAAAAAUAAAUGUACACAAUUUAUAUAAGUAAUUUAUAUAUUUACUAUGAAACUUAAGUAUAAAUUUAUAAAUUUUAAAUAAAAAUAUGUAAAUUAUUUAAAAUAAAAACAUAUAUAAAAUGAUAUAAAAUAAAAUUUAAAAGAUUUAUAUAUUAAAUCUUUUUUAAUUUAUAAAUUAUAAUUUAAAAAAUAUUAGCAAUUCUUAACUAAUGAUACGUAUAAAACGGUGUUUAUGAAACUAACUAAAAAAAACAAGUGUUUUAGUGAUUUAUUACAUUAUCUUUGAAUAAGAGGUCAUGAGUUUAUCUCUUGUUAAGAUUCUUUUAUUUUUCACUUUAUUUAAUAUCUUGUCAUAUAAGAGUUAUGUCAACAGUCUACAUAAGUGUCACAUUAACACUAAUAUUUUAUAUCAAAGUCAAUGUUUGACUUUGGAUUGUCAAGUGAUGGAAGGAUCCAAAUUGUUUAUUCAGAAAAAUAGAAACACUAAAUGUUUUGAUUUAGAAACAACUCGAUCAAAAUUGCGAAUUUAAAAUUAUAGGGGAAGAAAAAUUACAAUUUAGCCUUUUCUUUUUAUUUUGGUGGCAUAAUAGAAGAAACUAUUCAAAGAGGUGACAGGGUUGCACUUGAAUAUAAUCAUUCAAUACCAAUCUAUUUGAGUUUCUUUAUGAUCAUCUUGAAUAUUUUGAUCAUUUUGAAUGAAAACACCCCGAUGAGCUAUAUCAUUCAGUAAUUUGAAUAUUUUGAUCAUACCGUUGGACAACAUCCUGGUGAGCUUUAUCAUUAUUCUCCAUAGCUUGGUCACAUUUUGCAAUUAACUUCACUCUUGAUUCAUUUUUGGUAGGUACCUUAAUGCUUCCUUGGUCGAUUUUGUUUAUCGGUUGAGCGAUUUUCGUUUCAUUUGUAGGUCGAGAAAGGUUCGCCAAAGGAUCUUCAUCUUUUGCAGUACCUACUUUAGCUCAAAGAUUUUUGUAGUUGAAGUCGCCCAUAAUCUCUACAUAACACGAAAAUUGAAGUUAAGCAAGUAACAAAGUUAAACAAAAAAUGCAUAAAGUGUAUAUUGAGCAACAAUAUUCACCAUCAAUAAGCUUGUAAGGAUUCAAAACAACUAGAAGUUCUAAGGUGUUUUUAAUAACUGGACAUGGAAGUUUAGACAAAAAGUUAUUGUCAAGAUCUGAUUGGGAUAACACUUGAUGUAGAUGAAAAUUAAAUUUAAUAGGAAACUAUUCCCAAUAAAAGGGGAAUUUUUCUUUGUCAUCUAACUCAUAAAAUAACUCAUUUGAAUCGUCAUAGUUUGGAGAUGACCACAAUUGUACAAAAUUCACCAUGGCUGUGGUUUUCUUAGUAAUGCCUAAAUACCUCUAAAAAUGCAUAAUUUUCAACUCUUUUCACACGAAGCCUUUGAAGCAGUUGUCCUUCACAAACUUACAUCAAUUCAUGAGUUUUGUUAAUAAAAAUAUGUCAAAAUGCAUUAAAUUGACAUGAAAACUCACUAAAAGAUACCAUUAAAUUUGGGUUUAUACAACGAAAUAAGUAAGGCUUGAAUCUUUUCCAACAUUGGUUAUACAAAGUAAAUAUGCUUUAGUUUUGGUACCAUUCAAUGAAAUUCAACCACUCUUGGUUCCUAAGUUGAGCUUAAGUUGGUAAAAGUACAUAAACUUGUUGGGAGUUGGAAUAAUGUUCAAAUAAUUGCCUAAAAUUUUGAAGGCGCAUAUGAACGUCCAAUUGUCAAGGUGAAGUUGUGUGUGGGCUAGGUUAAGUAUGAUGAGCAUGUUGUACUCAAAAGUAGUGAAAGGGAGUGUUAGUUUGAGUUUUGAAAAUAGACACUUGUACACAUAGGUAAAUUCAAACUUACCAGGGGGCUCUUUGGAAGACAAAUUCGGAGGAGGUACAUGGUUCAUCAUCAAUAACAUUAUUUGUGUGAUUAGAGGUCGUUAAUCCCAUUGAGUUUCUCAAUUGAGAAAUUCAAUCUUGAGUUAACAUCCAAGAACAAUAGGUGUUUACAUCCCCUGAUACCCAAGAAGAUCCGAGAAGGUUAAUUGGAGGAAACUCACAUUUCUUUUUUCUCUUUAUUUUUUUACCUUUGAAUAGAUGAAAAUUAAAUUAAGUAGAAAACUGUUCCCAGUAAAGGGGAAUUUUGAUUUUCCAUCUGACCUAUAAAAUAAUUCCUUUGAAUUAGCAUAGUCUAGAGAUGGUCAUAUUGGUAAAAAAAUCCACCAUGGUCGUGGUUUUCUUAGUAAUGCUUGAAUGGCUCUAAAAAUGCAUAAUUUUUAAUUCUUUUCCACAUGAAGCCUUUGAAGCACUUGUCUUUCACAAACUUACACCAAACCAUGAGUUUUGUUAAUGAAAAUGUUAAAAUGCAUUAACAUGAAAACCCACUCAAAAAUACCAUCAAAUUUGGGUUUAUACAACAAAAGAAGUAAGACUUGAAUCUUUUCCAUGAUUGGUUAUACAAAGUAAAUAUGCCUUAUUUUUGGUACCAUUCAAUGAAAUCUAACCAAUCUUGGUCCUUAAGUUGAGCUUAAGAUGGUAAAAGUACAUAAAAUUGUUAGGAGUUGGAAUAA